GUGCUUGCACCGAGCGGAUGAGUUGCGAACGGGUGAGUAACGCGUAGGUAACCUGCCUCUUAGCGGGGGAUAACUAUUGGAAACGAUAGCUAAUACCGCAUAAAAGUCAACAUUGCAUGAUGUUGACUUGAAAGGUGCAACUGCAUCACUAAGAGAUGGACCUGCGUUGUAUUAGCUAGUUGGUGAGGUAACGGCUCACCAAGGCGACGAUACAUAGCCGACCUGAGAGGGUGAUCGGCCACACUGGGACUGAGACACGGCCCAGACUCCUACGGGAGGCAGCAGUAGGGAAUCUUCGGCAAUGGACGGAAGUCUGACCGAGCAACGCCGCGUGAGUGAAGAAGGUUUUCGGAUCGUAAAGCUCUGUUGUAAGAGAAGAACGAGUGUGAGAGUGGAAAGUUCACACUGUGACGGUAACUUACCAGAAAGGGACGGCUAACUACGUGCCAGCAGCCGCGGUAAUACGUAGGUCCCGAGCGUUAUCCGGAUUUAUUGGGCGUAAAGCGAGCGCAGGCGGUUAGAUAAGUCUGAAGUUAAAGGCUGUGGCUUAACCAUAGUACGCUUUGGAAACUGUUUAACUUGAGUGCAGAAGGGGAGAGUGGAAUUCCAUGUGUAGCGGUGAAAUGCGUAGAUAUAUGGAGGAACACCGGUGGCGAAAGCGGCUCUCUGGUCUGUAACUGACGCUGAGGCUCG
rnacentral:rRNA from 1 species